AGACAUCACACCCAAACCAAACAUAGAAAAGAAAAGUGACGUUUAUGAGUGAUUUUCCAUCACCAACGUCAUAUCAUGUGGCCUAAUUUUUAUUCCUUCCCCUCAUUUAUAUAUCAUCCCUUUCUUCCUUAUGAUCAUAAUUAUUAAUUAUUAUUAUUAUCAAUAUUCAUUCUCUUAAUGCCUCAACUACAUCUCAUCGUUCGCUUCUUUUUCUAUCUCACCUCCUCCUAACAGAAAAAAUGGGUGGCUGUUCUGAGAACGGUGAGAAUAGCAACGCAUCUGAGCUAACUAAUACUACUAAUUUCCAAGUAGUGGUCUCCUGGGAAAAGAUGUGGUGUUGGUGGAAACAUACUAAGCUCACUGAGCUCUAUUAUUUUUAUUUCAGCAAUGGAGUUUUAUGCCCAAAAGAAAUAAUUGUCACCACUACUACUACUGCUGCGCCAUGUUUAGCUUUGCUCCUUGCUCUAAUUUGUCACCACUCUAUCAAGGCGACGGUAGAAGUGCAUGAAACAAGAUUAUUGGAGCUGGGCCCAGCGUUAAUUAAUUUUAUGGAACAAAAUCUAUACAAGCAAACCUGGAGAGAUCGUGAAGCAAGAAACGACGUCGUUGUUGCGGUGUGAUGUCGUGGUUUAAAGACCUUAUAAUUCGUACUAGUAUUACAAGUACGAAUUGUGGGUUUAAAUAGGUAGCUAGAGAUCAUUGCUGAUUCUGGAACGAGUUCCCCUUUGAAACUUCAAAAUUUUAUGUACGUGUCGUUUUGGAUACGAUUAUCAUUCCUUGCUUUGGAUUCUGUUAUAUGUUUUAUACAAUUAAUAAAUGAGAAAAAGUAUAUGGUAUCUGAGUACGUAUAAUUUAAUUAA